rnacentral:rRNA from 1 species
GUGGGGAAUAUUGCACAAUGGGCGCAAGCCUGAUGCAGCAACGCCGCGUGAGGGACGACGGCCUUCGGGUUGUAAACCUCUUUUAGCAGGGAAGAAGCGAAAGUGACGGUACCUGCAGAAAAAGCACCGGCUAACUACGUGCCAGCAGCCGCGGUAAUACGUAGGGUGCAAGCGUUGUCCGGAAUUAUUGGGCGUAAAGAGCUCGUAGGCGGUUUGUCGCGUCUGCUGUGAAAACCCGAGGCUCAACCUCGGGCCUGCAGUGGGUACGGGCAGACUAGAGUGCGGUAGGGGAGAUUGGAAUUCCUGGUGGAGCGGUGGAAUGCGCAGAUAUCAGGAGGAACACCGAUGGCGAAGGCAGAUCUCUGGGCCGUAACUGACGCUGAGGAGCGAAAGCGUGGGGAGCGAACAGGAUUAGAAACCCUGGUAGUCC